rnacentral:rRNA from 1 species
AGUUAGUGUAAGAUCGACUCUGUCGAAUAAAAUUCUAGAUAGAAUUAUGAUAAUGACAUUAUCUAUCUAUGUGUCUUGACCAAAUUACGUGCCAGCAGUCGCGGUAAUACGUAAAAGACUAGUGUUAUUCAUCUUUAAUAGGUUUAAAGGGUACUUAGACGGUAAAUAAAGCCCGAAUAGGGAACUAAUAUACUAGAGUUUGAUGUAAGGAAGCAUGAAAGUACUGUUGGUGUAGAGAUAAAAUUCUAUCAUACCUAAUAUGGCACAGGUUUAGGCGAAAGCAUCUUCUUAUGUAAUAACUGACGUUGAAGGACGAAGGCUUUGUGUCUCGAACAGGAUUAGAUACCCCAGUAGUCUAAGCAGACAAUGAUGAAUGUCAUAGAUUAGAUUUAAUUAAAUUUAUUCUAUAAAUGAAAGUGUAAGCAUUCCACCUCAAGAGUAAUUUGGCAACAUUGGAACUGAAAUCAUUAGACCGUUUCUGAAACCAGUAGUGAAGUAUGUUGUUUAAUUAGAAGAUACGCAAAAAACCUUACCACAAUUUGAAUUAGUAAUAUGUUUUCACAAGCGUUGCACGGCUGUCUACAGUUAAUGUCGUGAGAUUUUGGUUAGUUCCAUUAAAUUAACGCAAACCCUUACUUUAUUUUUAAUAUAAAGUA